GAAGCAUACCAUAGUGUUGUCCUUUAUGUUGAUGUAAGCUUCAACUGUCUUCAAUUCUCUUUCUUCCACAGGAUAUACCUGAAACUGGUUGUUGAUGUAUUAUUCUAAUCAUGGUGCAUUAUCCAAUUUUCCUUCUUAUAUUUUAUCCCAUUUUUUUAUGGUCGAUCUUGUUGCUGUGCACUCCCCAGCAAAAUAUUUACAGGAUAGUUUUACUUGGAAUGUCCACUCUUUAAGCAUACGGUUGGGGAAAGGAGGGAAGUCCCCUAUCUCAAAAAGGGAUUACUUGACCUUUGCCUUUGCAUGACAUUACUGGUUCCUCUCGCUAAUUACUCGU
rnacentral:lncRNA from 1 species